AGUUCACGAGGUGCAUGCGGUUGCUUGCAUUAAACGUAUAAACUGUUAAAUUAGAUGGCGACUCUGCAUUAAACGUAUUUAUUUAAUUAAUCGGCGAUCAUAUUUUACCAGAGGACUAAGAUAAAACAACUCGAUUUAAAAUUUGAGCAGUUUUAGUGGAUCUGACGUCGAGGGAAAAAGUAUUUCGCUUUUUGUUUGGAGAUGAACGAGACAACACGAGGCACAGCGACAUAAAUAUGACCAACCAGAUCCCAAGUAGACAGGAACAAAUGAAGAUACAGCGCAUAGAAAGACUUAUUCUUGGUGAUCAACUGCUAUUGAAAUUUUUGAAUCGGGACAAAUGUGGAGUGAUUCGGAAGAAAAACGUUUGCAACACAUCCAUUCCAGAGUGCUCUGACAGAUAAAACUGACACACUUGAUGAGGACACAGUCAAAGCUUUAAAGGCACACAAGGCAAGUCUGAGUAUUAUUUCUCUACUAGCUCCCCCUAGUGUCUGGGAGUAAAUGCGUUCUAUAUCUAAGACUAUACGAGACUGAAGGACACCGGGUCGGAUACAGCGAACUUGCAAGUGGGGUAUUCUUCCUACAGACGGUAGGGGCGGGCGAGAGAGUCUUCAUUCGUCAUCUAAUGAGUCAUUUAACCAUAUACCGACUUACGAAGAUGAUUUAUUAACAUAAAAAUGCUGC